rnacentral:rRNA from 1 species
UACGUAGGGUGCGAGCGUUAAUCGGAAUUACUGGGCGUAAAGGGCUCGUAGGCGGCCAACUAAGUCAUACGUGAAAUCCCUCGGCUUAACCGGGGAACUGCGUCUGAUACUGGAUGGCUUGAGUUCGGGAGAGGGAUGCGGAAUUCCAGGUGUAGCGGUGAAAAUGCGUAGAUAUCUGGAGGAACACCGGUGGCGAAGGCGGCAUCCUGGACCGAUACUGACGCUGAUGAGCGAAAGCCAGGGGAGCAAACGGG